GGAGAGAUGGCUCAGUGGUUAAGAGCACUGACUGCUCUUCCAGAGGUCCUGAGUUCAAUUCCCAGCUCCA
rnacentral:tRNA from 1 species